rnacentral:snRNA from 1 species
AUCGUUUAUUUUCAAAUAUUCACUAAUAAACAUUAAAUCUGUUCUUAUCAGUUUAAUAUCUGAUAUGUCCUUUAUUUGAGGACUGUAUAUUAAAUGGAUUUUUGAAACAGGGGGUUGGAAUAGGAGCUUGCUCUAUCCACCCCAUGCAUUGACCUGGUAUUGCAGUGCCUCCAGGAGCGGUGCCUUUCCU